CCUGUGCGCCUUGUUUCGGGUGCCCCUCACGGGGUGAAACGGGAAACCGGUGCGCUCGCGUUGUCGAGCAAGUCCGGUGCUGCCCCCGCAACGGUAAGCGAGAGUAGGUCUGAUCCACUGUGCCGCUGGCAUGGGAAGGUGACCUUGCAGGCUUUGACGCACUGACGUCCUGGUCCCUCGCGAGCCCGGAGACCGGCCCGAUAUGCUUGCAAUGA
rfam:Pseudomonas syringae pv. japonica str. M301072 contig6.18, whole genome shotgun sequence.